GACGAACGCUGGCGGCGUGCCUAACACAUGCAAGUCGAGCGAAUGAAGUUCCUUCGGGAACGGAUUUAGCGGCGGACGGGUGAGUAACACGUGGGCAACCUACCUCAUAGAGGGGAAUAGCCUUCCGAAAGGGAGAUUAAUACCGCAUAAGAUUGUAGUACCGCAUGGUACAGCAAUUAAAGGAGCAAUCCGCAAUGAGAGGGGCCCGCGGCGCAUUAGCUAGUUGGUGAGGUAACGGCUCACCAAGGCGACGAUGCGUAGCCGACCUGAGAGGGUGAUCGGCCACAUUGGGACUGGGACACAGCCCAGACUCCUACGGGAGGCAGCAGUGGGGAAUAUUGCACAAUGGGGGAAACCCUCAUGCAGCAACGCCGCUUGAGUGAUGACGGCCUUCGGGUUGUAAAGCUCUGUCUUCAGGGACGAUAAUGACGGUACCUGAGGAGGAAGCCACGGCUAACUACGUGCCAGCAGCCGCCGUAAAAC
rnacentral:rRNA from 1 species